CUACGGGGGGCAGCAGUGAGGAAUAUUGCACAAUGGGGGGAACCCUGAUGCAGCAACGCCGCGUGGAGAAUGACGCAUUUCGGUGUGUAAACUCCUUUUAUCAGAGAAGAACAUGACGGUAUCUGAUGAAUAAGCUCCGGCUAACUCCGUGCCAGCAGCCGCGGUAAUACGGAGGGAGCAAGCGUUAUUCGGAAUCACUGGGCGUAAAGGACGCGUAGGCGGGACAGUAAGUCAGGUGUGAAAUCCAAUGGCUCAACCAUUGAACUGCACUUGAAACUGCUGACCUAGAGUACUGAAGGGGCAGAUGGAAUUAGUGGUGUAGGGGUAAAAUCCGUAGAUAUCACUAGGAAUACCGAAAGCGAAGGCGAUCUGCUGGGAAGUUACUGACGCUGAGGCGUGAAAGCGUGGGGAGCAAACAGGAUUAGAUACCCUAGUAGUC
rnacentral:rRNA from 1 species